CCUACGGGAGGCUGCAGUGAGGAAUAUUGGUCAAUGGACGAGAGUCUGAACCAGCCAAGUAGCGUGAAGGAUGACUGCCCUAUGGGUUGUAAACUUCUUUUAUAAAGGAAUAAAACGAGGCACGUGUGCCUUUUUGCAUGUACUUUAUGAAUAAGGAUCGGCUAACUCCGUGCCAGCAGCCGCGGUAAUACGGAGGAUCCGAGCGUUAUCCGGAUUUAUUGGGUUUAAAGGGCGCGUAGAUGGGUUGGUAAGUCAGUUGUGAAAUUUUGCGGCUCAACCGUAAAAUUGCAAUUGAUACUGGCAGUCUUGAGUACAGUUGAGGUAGGCGGAAUUCGUGGUGUAGCGGUGAAAUGCUUAGAUAUCACGAAGAACCCCGAUUGCGAAGGCAGCUUACUAAACUGUGACUGACAUUGAUGCAUGAAAGUGUGGGUAUCAAACAGGAUUAGAUACCCUUGUAGUC
rnacentral:rRNA from 1 species